rnacentral:rRNA from 1 species
GUAUAGAGGGUGAAUUCUGCCCAAUGGUUGUAUAGUGAAACUAAGGACUAACGUCUAAGGCGAAACCCAACUGAAUGGCCGCGGUAACUCUGACCGUGAUAAUGUAGCACAAUAAAUAGCCAAUUAAUUGUUGGCGGGUAUGAAUGGAAUCACGAGGGUCUUACUGUCUCAAGAGGAAAGCCGAUGAAAUUAUAGUUGUAGUGAAGAUACUACAUAAACAUUGUAAGACGAAAAGACCCUAUCGAGCUUUACUGGAUACCGAUAGUGUUAACUUAAAAUGAUCGAUACUAAGUAUCCUAAUUUUGAGUUAAUAAUCUUUGUUGGUAAGACAGUUUAGUUGGGGCGACUACCUUUGAAUAAGAAACGAAGGCAAGCUUAUGGUAUAUAUAGUUAAUCUCAUUAGCCUGACAGUGAGGGGGACACCCCUAGCUGGCACAAGAAUGUGGGCGAUAAUGACCCGAUAUGAUUAUCCAAAAUAAAUAUCGAAAGCGGAUAAAAGCUACCGUAGGGAUAACAGCGUAAUAUUGUCGGAGAGUUCUUAUCGAGGACAGUGUUUGCGACCUCGAUGUUGAAUUGCGGUGCCCUGGUGCUGUAGAAGGUACCUUAGGUUGGUC